rnacentral:misc_RNA from 1 species
AAGACUAUAGACCUGCGGAGUACCUGCGGAGGGAUCAUUACUGAGUGAGGGCCCUCUGGGUCCAACCUCCCACCCGUGUUUAACGAACCUUGUUGCUUCGGCGGGCCCGCCUCACGGCCGCCGGGGGGCAUCCGCCCCCGGGCCCGCGCCCGCCGAAGACACCUGUGAACUCUGUCUGAAGUUGCAGUCUGAGAAACUAUUUAAAUUAGUUAAAACUUUCAACAACGGAUCUCUAGAUCG